rnacentral:rRNA from 1 species
UACGUAGGGUGCAAGCGUUGUCCGGAAUUAUUGGGCGUAAAGAGCUCGUAGGCGGCCUGUCGCGUCGGCUGUGAAAACUCAGGGCUCAACCCUGAGCCUGCAGUCGAUACGGGCAGGCUAGAGUCCGGCAGGGGAGACUGAAAUUCCUGGUGUAGCGGUGAAAUGCGCAGAUAUCAGGAGGAACACCGGUGGCGAAGGCGGGUCUCUGGGCCGGAACUGACGCUGAGGAGCGAAAGCGUGGGGAGCGAACAGG